AUUGAACGCUGGCGGCAGGCCUAACACAUGCAAGUCGAACGGUAACAGGAAGAAGCUUGCUUCUUUGCUGACGAGUGGCGGACGGGUGAGUAAUGUCUGGGAAACUGCCUGAUGGAGGGGGAUAACUACUGGAAACGGUAGCUAAUACCGCAUAACGUCGCAAGACCAAAAAGGGGGACCUUUGGGCCUCUUGCCAUCGGAUGUGCCCAGAUGGGAUUAGCUAGUAGGUGGGGUAACGGCUCACCUAGGCGACGAUCCCUAGCUGGUCUGAGAGGAUGACCAGCCACACUGGAACUGAGACACGGUCCAGACUCCUACGGGAGGCAGCAGUGGGGAAUAUUGCACAAUGGGCGCAAGCCUGAUGCAGCCAUGCCGCGUGUAUGAAGAAGGCCUUCGGGUUGUAAAGUACUUUCAGCGGGGAGGAAGGGAGUAAAGUUAAUACCUUGGCUCAUUGACGUUACCCGCAGAAGAAGCACCGGCUAACUCCGUG
rnacentral:rRNA from 1 species